rnacentral:lncRNA from 1 species
ACCGAGCUCGCAGUCGUUGCUGCCCCGAGGAGGUGUAGAUCGAGCCUCCUGCCGCACACACGUUCGCACGCGGCGGCCGGCGCGCUGGACCGAGAGGUUGGAGCAAUCCAUCCUCCGCGCGCACGAGCUCAGUCCCUACUGCCCCGACAGGUGUGGAACCCGCCGUCCCCGCUAUGGUCCGAGGAAGUGUACAGCACUGCUCCCUACUACACGUCCUGGGCCCGCGGUCCCCGAUGCCCCCCGGAGCUCUGUGCACCUCCACUGAAACGCAAGGAGCAGACAGAACCUACACCAUCCGUGAGGCAUCCAACCAUGAUGAGGUACCUUGUUGAACAAACUAACUCUGCCACUGAGAACGAUGAAAGCUGUUUAAAAAAAUAAAUAAGUCUGUUUAAAACAAUUGGAGAGCAACCCUGUCAUCCAAGGCUUGAGAGUCCACGAGCCCCCCAGGAAGAAGAGAAAUACUCUGAACUCCAGAACGUGGUUUUGGUUGCAGCUGCAGUUUCUCUUCUUUGAAUUCUGGAACAGCACCUAUAAGAUAUUAUUGAAGCAAAUGACCUUAAUGCUUGGCAGUGAAGGACCCCACACAGAAUUAAUUAAUCAGCAGGACAGACUUGCCACCAAUUAGACCUAUUUGACCAAAAUGACUUUAAAUGCAUUAAGUGGCAUCUAAAAGCAUAAAUCAAAUUGACAGAAUAACAGUCAAACACACAUCAAUUAUGACUAUAAAUGUAAAUCUUUAUACUCUCCAAAUAAAAGGCUGACUUUCAGAUUAGGUUAAAAAAUACUACUAAACUAUAAAUAUUUAUCAUAAACAAACCUUCUAUAAUCUGAGUACUUUGUGAGGCCAAGGCUGGGCGUGGCGGCUCAUGCAUGUAAUUCCAGCACUUUGGGAGGCCAAGGCGGGUGGAUCACUUGAGCCCAGGAGUUCGAGACCAGCCUGGGCAACAUGGAGAAACCCUGUCUCUACAAAAAAUACAAAAAUUAGCUGGGCGUGGUGGUUGGUGCCUGUAGUCCCAGCUACUUGGGAGGCUGAGGUGAGAGGAUCACUUGAGCCUGGGAGGUAGAGGCUGCAGUGAGCCGAGAUCACGCUACUGCACUCCAGCCUUGGUGACAGAGGGAGACCCUGUCUCAAAAAAAUAAAUAAAAGAAACAGACCUAAACACAACUACUGGAGUAUGAGGGAUGAUAAUCAAUCACUCCUUUGUCAAUUUCUCUCAGUUCUAAAACCAAAUGAGAACAAAAAGACAUUGGAAUCAGAAAGAUGGAAAUCAAAAUAUCAGCUGUGGAACUGGUGGAGCUAAACUGAAGACUGUAGCUUGAAUCAACACCCAAGUGUACUUUCUAAUCACUCCACCUCUAAAUUCAAUCUAUUCACCUAGUCCUUUCACCCAUGGAUUGACCCUGCAUCCUCCCAUCACGGGUUAGAAAUGCUCUUAAGUAGAGAUCAUGUAAAAAACUGAGGACAGCCUGCUCAGAAAGAGAGAAUGCUCAGAAGGGUCUGACACACAACCUCAGUUUCUUCUCCCUGUCUCACUUAUUCAGAUUAUCCCUCCCACUAGAUGAAAAGGGAGGUUAAACUGUUAGUCCCCUGACUAACAGGCUGCCCUCUCUGGAAACACUAGGUCACGGGAAUGGAGGUUACCUGCAACAUUUUAAAACUUGCAUUCACUUAACCCACUGGCUAUAACAACUUAACAUAUGAUCAGCCAGGGGAGAAGACAGCAGUUCAUAGGACUGCUUUGCUCCCAUAUCAUGAUGCUGCCCCCCAAUACUGUCUCUGUUCCUUUAUUUAUUUUUGAGACAGUCUCGCUUUGUCACCCAGGCUGGAGUGCAGUGGCUUGAUCUCGGCUCACUGCAACCUCCGUCUCCUGGUUCAAGUGAUUCUCCAGCUUCAGCCUCCCGAGUAGGUGGGACUACAGGUGCCCACCACCGUGCCCGGCUAAUUUUUGAAUUUUUAGUAGAGACAGGGUUUCACCAUGUUGGCCAGGCUGGUCUCAAACUCCUUACCUCAGGUGAUCCACCCACAUUGGCCUCCCAAAGUGCUGGGAUUGCAGGCGUGAGCCACCGUGCCCGGCCUCUCUGUUCCUUUAUUUAUCAUUCUAGAAUCACAUAGAGGCAGCUAAGUAGUUGCCCCCAGAAACAGGUAAGAACAAUUCGUUAAUUAAAUUAACUCCAAGGCCAAUCUGUGCUCUAGGCUGAAGGUGAAUCUGUUUCUCAACUCAAAUUAUACACAGCCAUCUUGUCUAAUACAAUUCCUCAAAGGUUAUUACAUGAAAUCUAAUUGACAGCAUAAAGAUACUCCAUAGUACAAAGUAAGCUAUUAAUUCAUAAAGUAUACUGAAUAUAAAUUGCCUUUCAUUAUGAUGUUUCCACAAAUAAAAAAAAUCAUUUUCCUUUUAUAAGUUAAAGUACGAACAGAUAUUAGAGAUGAAAGCCUUAAAGAAUUUUUUUAGCCUGUUUUAUUAUUGUUUUAAAAUUUACUACAGUGUACCCCUUUAUUGCCUGCACUGGGGGCAAUCCACUUCUGCCUUGCACUUAGCAUGACACUGCUUUUUAUUGACAUGUAACAUACAUUCAGAAACAGUGAUCAGAUGUAUCCAGAUCAAACAUCACCACCUAGGUCAAGAAAGAUGAUAUUACAGGUAUCCCAGAAGCCCACUCCACAACCCCUCCUAAUUGCUAACACCAUAUAUUAGUUUUGUCUCAUGUUUAUCUUCAAAUAAAUGGAAUCAAUCACACAGUA